UCUUGAAAAGGCGUUUGAUUGGUUCCCUGUGUGAAGAGGCGAUAUUUCCUCCCACUGAUAUUUUGGUCACUUUUAAUGAGGUUUUGUGACAUCAGCGCUGACCGCUCCGUAACAUCAAUUGUCUUUCUUUUUUUUCAUUUAUAUUCUCCAUGUGGGCAGUUAUGGGUGCGUCCAUUUUACCCACUUUUUUUGAAGUAUAAAUAGAUUUCGGCGAGUUAAAGUAAAAUUGUUAGUGCAUUUGAAAUCUGAAUUGUAUAAUCAGUGAAAUUCUGACCUCGUAAAAAUAAGUGCUAUUUUAUGUCAGAGAUACAUCUCUAGUUAAUAUUAUUCAUAU